UACGUAGGGUGCAAGCGUUGUCCGGAAUUAUUGGGCGUAAAGAGCUCGUAGGCGGUCUGUCGCGUCGGCUGUGAAAACCCGGAGCUCAACUCCGGGCCUGCAGUCGAUACGGGCAAACUGGAGUGUUGCAGGGGAGACUGGAAUUCCUGGUGUAGCGGUGAAAUGCGCAGAUAUCAGGAGGAACACCGGUGGCGAAGGCGGGUCUCUGGGCAACAACUGACGCUGAGGAGCGAAAGCGUGGGGAGCGAAUAGG
rnacentral:rRNA from 1 species